AGCCCAACCUCUAGCCCAACCACUAACCUAAACCCCAAACAACCAAAAUCCACUUAACAACCCUAAAUCAAAACAUUCUUUUCCGUCUUAGUAUAGGCGAUAGAAAAGACCCUCCUCAGGAGCAAUAGAUUAACGUACCGUAAGGGAAAGAUGAAAUAAUAAUGAAAACUGAAGCAACCAAAAUAGCAAAGAUAAACCCUUGUACCUUUUGCAUCAUGAUUCAGCAAGAACAACCAAACAAAACGAACUGAAGUUUGCCCCCCCGAAACCCGAGCGAGCUACUAGCGAGCAGCUAUUUACUGAGCACACCCGUCUCUGUUGCAAAAGAGUGGGAAGACUUGCUAGUAGGGGUGAAAAGCCAACCGAGCCGGGUGAUAGCUGGUUGCCCGCGAAAUGAAUCUAAGUUCACUUUUAAUUUAACACCACAGCCCAACUAACACUUCCACGUACUAAAUUAAAAGCAAUUUAAAGGGGGUACAGCCCCUUUAAAAAAGAAAACAAUCUCUACCAGAGGAUAAGCACCCAUCCCCUAGACUUGUAGGCCUUAAAGCAGCCACCAACCAAGAAUGCGUCAAAGCUCCAGACUAAAAAAAUCCAAAAACCACGCGAUUCCCUCAUUAAUAGCAGGCCAACCUAUAAAACAUAGGAGAAUUAAUGCUAAAAUAAGUAACCAAGGAAAACUCCUCUAAAGCACAAACUUACAUACCACAUUAUUAACAGACUAACUAAUACCCUGCAAGCCCAACAAGACUUAAUAUUCAAAUCAACUGUUAACCCAACUCAGGAGUGCUAGACUAGAAAGAUUUAAACCUACAAAAGGAACUAGGCAAACACAUAAGGCCCGACUGUUUACCAAAAACAUAGCCUUCAGCCCAACAAGUAUUGAAGGUGAUGCCUGCCCGGUGACACCAAGUUUAACGGCCGCGGUAUCCUAACCGUGCAAAGGUAGCGCAAUCAAUUGUCUCAUAAAUCGAGACUUGUAUGAACGGCUAAACGAGGUCUUAACUGUCUCUUGUAGGUAAUCAGUGAAAUUGAUCCCCUCGUGCAAAAGCGCGGAUAUACACAUAAGACGAGAAGACCCUGUGGAACUUAAAAAUCACUAGCCACUCAAAACCAACAAUCCAUCUUAGGCCUACCCCGGGCCGCAACUAAACUAAACAGCUGGCCUACAUUUUUCGGUUGGGGCGACCUUGGAGAAAAACAAAUCCUCCAAAAACAAGAUUACACCUCUUAACCAAGAGCAACACCUCAAAGUACUAACAGUAACCAGACCCAGUAUAACUGACCAAUGGACCAAGCUACCCCAGGGAUAACAGCGCAAUCCCCUCCAAGAGCCCAUAUCGACAAGGGGGUUUACGACCUCGAUGUUGGAUCAGGACAUCCUAAUGGUGCAGCCGCUAUUAAGGGUUCGUUUGUUCAACGAUUAAUUAGUCCUACGUGAUCUGAGUUCAGACCGGAGUAAUCCAGGUCGGUUUCUAUCUAUGAUAAACUUUUUCCAGUACGAAAGGACCGAAAAAGUAGGGCCAAUACCUCAAGCAUGCCCUCAUACAAGUAAUGAACUAAUCUAAAUUACCAACCCCUUCCCCCUCCCCAUCCUAAAUAAGGAUC
rnacentral:rRNA from 1 species